CAUAUUAAAGGGAGAAAAGAUAGGGCCUAGUGUCCACAUGUUCCCAUCAAUUUCCAGGUGGGCUCUAGAUAGAAACUGGGAAGCAAACGGCAUCCGUAGCCACAAAAAGGGGCGGAGCUGGAGCUGGCAGUGACUUUGCAAUUGGUG